rnacentral:snRNA from 1 species
AGAUGUGAGGGCCAUCUGGCUGUGACAUCCAUCACCCCAUUGAUCGUCAGGGUUCAUUGGGCUGGGAGUGACUGCCAGGGUUGAUCUGGCUAACCUGGCUCGCUAGGCGGAUGUUCCUUUCCUCCCUCACCACUCCAUGUGUGUCCCUCCCAAAACUGUGCUUGGUCCAAGAGGACGAUCAUCCCCGAUAAGGAGGACCGGUUUUCGGUCAAGGGUAAAUGAGUAGCCACGCUCCCCUGCUAGAACUUGCAAACAAGCUCUCAAGAAUGUGCAAAAUCUGGGCCGGGCGCGGUGGCUCAAGCCUGUAAUCCCAGCACUUUGAGAAG